GGAUUAGAUACCCUGGUAGUCCUAGCUGUAAACGAUGGAUACUAAGUGUUGGGCUUUUAGAGUUCAGUGCUGUAGCUAACGCGUUAAGUAUCCCGCCUGGGGAGUAUGCUCGCAAGGGUGAAACUCAAAGGAAUUGACGGGGGUCCGCACAAGCAGUGGAGCAUGUGGUUUAAUUCGAUGCAACGCGAAGAACCUUACCCAGGCUUGACAUUUUGAAACCGCACUAGAGAUAGUGUUUCCCGCAAGGGUCUCUUAACAGGUGCUGCAUGGCUGUCGUCAGCUCGUGUCG
rnacentral:rRNA from 1 species